AUUGAACGCUGGCGGCAUGCCUUACACAUGCAAGUCGAACGGCAGCGCGUGCUUCGGCCUGGCGGCGAGUGGCGGACGGGUGAGUAAUGCAUCGGAACGUGCCCAGGAGUGGGGGAUAACGUAGCGGAAGUUACGCUAAUACCGCAUACGUACUGAGGUAGAAAGCGGGGGAGCGAAAGACCUCGCGCUCAGGGAGAGUCCGAUCUCGGACUAGCUAGUGGGCGGGGUAAAAGCCCACCAACGCGACGAUCCGUACCUGGUCUGAGAUGACGACCAGCCACACUGGGACUGAGACACGGCCCAGACUCCUACGGGAGGCAGCCGUGGGGAAUCCUGGACAAUGGGGGCAACCCUGAUCCAGCAAUGCCGCGUGUGGGAUGAAGGCCCUCGGGUUGUAAACCACUUUUGGCAGGAAAGAAAUCGCCUGUGCUAAUACCACGGGCGGCUGACGGUACCUGCAGAAUAAGCACCGGCUAACUACGCGCCAGCAGCCGCCGUAA
rnacentral:rRNA from 1 species